GGGCGGUGACUAUGGUUCCUUUGGCCGCAUUGGAUGUCCGAGAAAAAAUUUAGAUGAUUCGGGUCCGGGGGCCCGGGGCCACGGAAGAAGGCGUGGGCUAUAGCACACGAAACAUUAGGACUCGCUCGGAUUUCCAAUUUUAUGACCGAUUCGGGUCCGGGGGCCCGGGGCCACGGAAGAAGAGGUGGGCUAUAGCACACGAAACAUUAGGACUCGCUCGGAUUUCAAAUUUUAUGGCCGUAUACAUCCUAAAAAUGUAAUUUGGUCAUGGCCGGGCGGUGACUAUGGUUCCUUUGGCCAAAUUGGAUGUCCGAGAUAUUAUUUAAACGAUUCGGGUACGGGGGCCCGGAGCCACGGAAUAAGGGGUGGGCUAUAGCACACAAAACAUUGGGACUCGCGCGGAUUUCCAAUUUUAUGGCAGUAAACAUCCAAAAAUGUAAUUUGGUCAUGAACGGAAGGUGAAUAUGGUUCCUUUGGCCGUAUUGGGUGUACCCUAAAAAUUUUAGACGAUUCGGCUCCGGGGGCCCGGGGUCACGGGAGAAGGCGUGGGCUAUAGCA
rnacentral:lncRNA from 1 species